CUAUUGAGGUAGUGCCGCGUGUGUCGCUCCAGGGGGUAGAGCACUGUUUUGGCUAGGGGGACAUGGAGUCUUACCAAACCAAGGCAAACUCCGAAUACCUGGAAGCGUAAGCACGGGAGACAGAGCACCGGGUGCUAACGUCCGGACUCAAAAGGGAAACAACCCAGACCGCCGGCUAAGGUCCCAAAUAACAGCUAAGUGGAAAACGAAGUGGAAAGGCCGUGACAACCAGGAAGUUGGCUUAGAAGCAGCCAUCCUUCAAAGAAAGCGUAAUAGCUCACUGGUCGAGUCCUUCUGCGCGGAAGAUGUAACGGGGCUAAGCUGUUAACCGAAGCCGCGGAUGCACUGGUUAUCCAGUGCGUGGUAGGGGAGCGUUCUGUAAGUCUGCGAAGGCGGUUCGAGAGGACUGCUGGAGAUAUCAGAAGUGCGAAUGCUGACAUGAGUAACGUUAAAGCAGGUGAAAAGCCUGCUCGCCGUAAGCCCAAGGAUUCCUGCUCUACGUUCAUCGGAGCAGGGUGAGUCGGCUCCUAAGGUCAGGCCGAAAGGCGUAGCCGAUGGGAAUCAGGUUAAUAUUCCUGAACCUGCGUCAGAUGCGAUGGGGGGACGGAGCAUGAAAGAUCAUCCGGGUGUUGGAUGUCCCGGUUGACGAGCGUAGGAGGUCUGCAGGCAAAUCCGCAGACGCAUCUCCAAGGCGAAGUCACGUGCCGCCACGGCGGCGAAGUGAUCGGAAGUGCUUCCAAGAAAAGCCUCUAAGCACCAGUCUGACGCGGACCGUACCGCAAACCGACACUGGUGGGCGAGCUGAAUAUGCUCAGGCGCUUGAGAGAACUCGGGAGAAGGAACUCGGCAAAUUGACACCGUAACUUCGGAAGAAGGUGUGCCGUAGUACCGUGAGAGGAGAGACACCUUGAGCGGGAAACGGUCUCAGAGAAUAGGUGGCUGCGACUGUUUAUUAAAAACACAGCACUCUGCAAAGUCGAAAGACGACGUAUAGGGUGUGAUGCCUGCCCGGUGCUGGAAGAUUAAUUGAUGGGGUGAGAGCCCUUGAUCGAAGUCCCAGUAAACGGCGGCCGUAACUAUAACGGUCCUAAGGUAGCGAAAUUCCUUGUC
rnacentral:rRNA from 1 species